GUGUGGUCCAGUGGUUAAAGAAAAAGGCUUGUAACCAAGAGGUCCCCGGUUCAAAUCCCACCUCAGCCACUCACUCAUUGUGUGACUCUGAACAAGUCACUUAACCUCCUUGUGCUCCAUCUUUUGGGUGAGAUGUAAUUAUGCAGACUGGAGAACGACCUGAGCCCAAUUUCUCACCUGAACCUGAUAGAGUUCUAUCCCUACCCUCAGUGUUUCGUGGCAGAACAAGUCCUCAAAAUACUUUCACCAAGCGAAGAAGAACUGUAGCUGGAAGGGCCCGGGUGGUGAUCAGAGACAUCCUAUGUAUGCCAUUUAGUACACCUCAGCAAGAGGAUCAUUCUUGGAAAGCACCAAGAGGUCGGGACAAGGAGAAACUGGCUUCUGUCGGGCUGACAGGCAAACUUAAUCUGGACUCUACAUGGAAUUCUCAGGAGGUGCAACAUGAAAUUCGAUCACUCUUCCAAACAACGUUCUGCGCAGAUGGAGAAGAGUUUUUUUUUUUUCAUUUUUACAGUGUUUGCCAGGUGGAAGGAAACUGAUCAAACCCAACACCUCUGUCAGUUUUUCUUGGAAUGGUGCCGAAGUGAUUAGUCUUGCAGGACAAGGAGCUCUGUACAUUCUUAGUCACCACAACCUGCCAGAAAGUGAGGAACAUGAAUCACCAAGUAAGGAGACUCUGUCUUUCCUCAGUUCUACCAAUUCAUUGACCCAUCAAAUAAAUCUUGAAAAUGAUGUUCAGCAGCUAGAACAGAAUGUACUCCAUCAUAGAACUCCAGUAGUCAGUGCUGAAAGCAUAGUCACGGAGCAUGAUGUAAACAUUUUUGAAGAUGUUCCCCCACUGUCAACUGGCUCAGAGGUGACUACUAGAACAUUAGCUCACAGUGUA